UACGUAGGGUCCGAGCGUUGUCCGGAAUUACUGGGCGUAAAGAGCUCGUAGGUGGUUUGUCGCGUUGUUCGUGAAAACUCACAGCUCAACUGUGGGCGUGCGGGCGAUACGGGCAGACUGGAGUACUGCAGGGGAGACUGGAAUUCCUGGUGUAGCGGUGGAAUGCGCAGAUAUCAGGAGGAACACCGGUGGCGAAGGCGGGUCUCUGGGCAGUAACUGACGGCUGAGGCACGGAAAGGUCAGGGGAGCAAAACGG
rnacentral:rRNA from 1 species